GACGAACGCUGGCGGCGUGCUUAACACAUGCAAGUCGAACGGUCAAGCAGAGCUUGCUCUGUGGUUCAGUGGCGAACGGGUGAGUAACACGUGCGUAACCUGCCCUUGACUCUGGGAUAAGCGUUGUAAACGACGUCUAGUACCUGCUACGUGCUGUAACCGCAUGGUCGUUUGUUGGGAAAAUUUGUUGGUUACGGAUGGACGCACGGGCUAUCAGCUUGUUGGUGAGGUAAUGGCACACGAAGGCGACGACGGGUAGCCGGCCUGAGAGGGUGACCGGGCACAAGGGGACUGAGACACGGACCAGACGCCUACGGGAGGCAGCAGGGGGGAAUAUUGCAGAAUGGGCGCAAGCCUGAUGCAGCAACGCCGCGUGAGGGAUGACGGCCUUCGGGUUGUAAACAUCUUUUAGUAGGGAAGAAGCGAAAGUGACGGUACCUGCAGAAAAAGCACCGGCUAACUACGUG
rnacentral:rRNA from 1 species